ACGGGGUAGGAAUACAUCGGAACGUACCUUUUGGUUGAGAAUAGCGUUGGGAAACUGACGGUAAUACUCAAUAAAGUCGAGAGACCAAAGGUUUACUGCCGGAAGAGCGGCCGAUGCGAUAUUAGGUAGUUGGUGGGGUAAUGGCCUACCAAGCCUGAGAUGUCUAGGGGGUGUGAGAGCAUGGCCCCCACCACUGGGACUGAGAUACUGCCCAGACACCUACGGGUGGCUGCAGUCGAGGAUCUUCGUCAAUGGGCGAAAGCCUGAACGAGCGACGCCGCGUGCGGGAUGAAGGCCCUUGGGUUGUAAACCGCUGUCAGGGGGGAUGAAACCGCAAGGUUGACAGAGCCCCAGAGGAAGCACGGGCUAAGUUCGUGCCAGCAGCCGCGGUAAUACGAACUGUGCGAACGUUACUCGGAAUCACUGGGCUUACAGGGUGCGUAGGUGGCUUGAUAAGCAGGGUGUGAAAUCCCUCGGCUCAACCGAGGAACUGCGCUCUGAACUGUCGAGCUAGAGUAUGCUAGAGGUGAAUGGAACAUCCAGU
rnacentral:rRNA from 1 species